AUCCCAUUAAAUAUAACAGCUCCAUGUAACAUGUUUCUAUUUUGUAUAAUUUCCAUAAUGCACAGGUGCCUCGCAAUCAUCACCAUGCUCCGUAACAUCUGACGACACUGUCAUUCUAAACUUCUCGAUGUGUGACGAUGAAGAGGCAUCUCCUGUUGGAGCAAGUCAACCCAAAAGCCAUGUCGCAAAAGCGUUGAUUGGAAAAAUCCUGACAUCAAGGCCUGGUGGUGAACGCAUCAUGCAAGAGUAUGGAAAAACCAAAUCUUUGACAGAUGCCACUAGAAGACAGAUGAUGAACAUAUUUGCUGCUGAGAUGACAGAAACACAUGGGACAUCGCCCCCCAAAAGUGUCAGAGUGAUGUAUGCACAGGGGAUAGUUGCUUUGUUUCCCUAUCUGGAAGACCCAUUUUCACAACAUGGAUAUGAACAUUACUACGAUCCAGAGAGUGGUUCUGGAUACCUUGCAUGGCGAUUGAAGACCAUUCAAAGAAAAAGUUCAGAGGAAAGAUGUGGCUCAGUUAGCAGAUCUCCCAAAGAUAGAACAAGAUUUCAGACUCCUGUUUGGUGAGGCCACAGCCAACACAUUUUUGGAGAGGUGGCCAACCACUUUCAGAGCAAGAGUCAUAAAAGAAAGCCAUGGACUGGUGCCUACCACAGAGCUCUUGGAUUUAAUGCGCAAUGCUGAGUCAACCGCUGAAGUUGAGAACGGGUGGGACAGUGACAUGUCUGCGAUUUUGCUGCUGCUACAUCUGCUACCACCAUCUGCGCAAGGUCGAAAAAGGCCAGGAAAGAUAUCUGCAUCUCAAGCUGUAGAUCAGCUCAUCAGAUUUCAAAAGGCUGGAACCAGCGUGCAACAACAUCUGGACAACAUCACCCAAAGCAGUCAGCCUUAUCUUCUUGCGCAGGGAUCCACCAGAAGCAGCAUUCACUCAUACUUCAUUGUGAUCGACAAGCACGCACUUCCAUGCAAGGCAACAGGGUCAGUUGGAGCCUUUGAUGAACUCAUUAAAGCCCAUUACGUCUUUGGUACGUCAUACAGUUUUUCCCUGAGCAGCUUUUUCACUUUUGUGCAAACAAACAUCUAUAAUAUUGACAUGGGCGAAACAAAGGAAACUCCCAGGAUUGCUGAAUUGCGAGCAAGAAUGUUGCAUUGAGUGAAUAACUUUUGAGACCGAACCAUGAGGUGUUUUUUUUUUUUUUUUUGCAAAAGUGACCAUGGAAGUCCAAGCGGCCUUGUUAAGCACUUAAGUUAAGUUUUUACAGUAGCUUUUCAAGAACAUUUCCAUGCAUAUGAAGUGGCAAGGUCAAAGCAAGAUUUUGUUGUUUUUCAUGUCGACAACCUGAUUUAUCCUAGGCCUUUGGAUAUACAAAUGUCUUAUGGAUUUAAUGACAAAGCUCUGUUUGUUGUCCCAUAUUGCUUUCUUUGGUGAGGUGUUUCAUAAACCAUUAUCAUAUCAUUGUCAUUAUAGUUAAGGUAUGUAUGUGUCGCGAAGCGAGAGCAUGGUCACCCCACCUGGACUUGAACCGGGGUCUACAGGUUGCCAAACAUGCACUCUGACCACAAUGCCAAAGAGCCAGGCUCAUUGGUAUGGCAGUCAGAGCACAAACUCAUCUGUAGUGACGAUCACACGGUCACACUGCCCUCACUUUCGGGAAGCGCACCCUUGCGCUUCAUGCACAAAGGCAUUCCUCGCGCAUCCACCAACUGUACUUCUCCCAUCCAGAGCGCCCCAGACACAAGUGCUUCACCAUCUAUGGGGUCUGUCACACAGGGGUCAACCUACCUGGGGGUCCCUCAUACAGUUUUAUCGAGAGGUCAUUGGAGGCGUGCCUGUAAAACUGUAUGACCCCCAAGUAGGUUGAACCCUGUGUGAGGGACCCCAUGGGUGAAGCACUUGUGUGUGUGUGGAGCGCUCUGGAUGGGAGAAGUACGGUUGG
ensembl:lncRNA